GGAGUUUGUUAGCUUGUUCGGUCUAGCGCAGCUCCGGAGCCUGGGCUGUUUGGGUCCCCUUGGUUUAGCCCAGCUAAGCAGGUACAAAAGUAACUGAUGGAGUAAUUCACUUUCCAUUAGAGCAGGUGGGCUCACUCUCCAUAGAGCUGGAAGAAUUCACUCUACAGAAUGUGGAGUUUCCAAAUGUAGGUCCUAAAAUUCCUGCCCUGAUUCCUGCCAAUGAAGAUUUAAUUUUUCCAGAAAGGAAACUAAUAUGGGA